rnacentral:tRNA from 1 species
GCGGGCGUAGCUCAAUGGUAGAGCAUCAGUCUUCCAAACUGAUGACGCGAGUUCGAUUCUCGUCGCCCGCUCCA